CGUGAGUGAAGAAGGCUUUCGGGUCGUAAAGCUCUGUCAAGUGGGACAAAGGACUUUCGGUAAAUAGCCGGAAGGAUUGAUGGUACCACUAGAGGAAGCACCGGCUAACUCCGUGCCAGCAGCCGCGGUAAUACGGAGGGUGCGAGUGUUGUUCGGAAUUAUUGGGCGUAAAGAGCGUGUAGGCGGUUUGGUAAGUCAGGUGUGAAAGCCCUGGGCUUAACUCAGGAAGUGCACUUGAAACUACCUCACUUGAGUAUGGGAGAGGAGAGUGGAAUUCCCAGUGUAGAGGUGAAAUUCGUAGAUAUUGGGAGGAACACCCGUGGCGAAGGCGACUCUCUGGACCAAUACUGACGCUGAGACGCGAAAGCGUGGGGAGCAAACAGGAUUAGAUACCCUGGUAGUCCACGCCGUAAACGAUGAGAACUAGGUGUAGCGGGUAUUGACCCCUGCUGUGCCGGAGCUAACGCAUUAA
rnacentral:rRNA from 1 species